rnacentral:rRNA from 1 species
AUUGAACGCUGGCGGCAUGCCUUACACAUGCAAGUCGAACGGCAGCACGGGAGCAAUCCUGGUGGCGAGUGGCGAACGGGUGAGUAAUAUAUCGGAACGUGCCCAGUCGUGGGGGAUAACGCAGCGAAAGCUGUGCUAAUACCGCAUACGAUCUACGGAUGAAAGCGGGGGAUCGCAAGACCUCGCGCGAUUGGAGCGGCCGAUAUCAGAUUAGCUAGUUGGCGGGGUAAAAGCCCACCAAGGCGACGAUCUGUAGCUGGUCUGAGAGGACGACCAGCCACACUGGAACUGGGACACGGUCCAGACUCCUACGGGAGGCAGCAGUGGGGAAUUUUGGACAAUGGGCGCAAGCCUGAUCCAGCAAUGCCGCGUGCAGGAUGAAGGCCUUCGGGUUGUAAACUGCUUUUGUACGGAACGAAACGGCUCUUUCUAAUAAAGAGGGCUAAUGACGGUACCGUAAGAAUAAGCACCGGCUAACUACGUGCCAGCCGCCGCCGUAA